UAUGUGUGAAUAUUAAAAAAUGUUAUACAUACUAUAGUCAGUUCACUUACAGUAGAUUCUUGUGCCUACCAGACGUUUGUUUGGCGGCCUCUGAUUGGCUGGUACCGGGAGGUAAGCAGCUCACUCAGUAUCUCAUUAUUUUUUUCUGUGGCUUAGAAAACCAGCAAUAUGUGUACGUAUAUUUCUUCAAUCAUCUCUCACUUUGCUCAAGAUGGGAAAGUUUUGGUCAUACGGUAGGAUUCAGUCUUAAUUGAACAAUUAAGUCAUCUUUUCCUGAAUCCAAUAAGAUAAAACACAGAGGUAUUACAAUGAGUAAAAGUGUAGAGAGAAGCAUUUAAUUCUUUAUACCUGUUUUUACUUAUCAGAUUUUGCAUCAUUAACGUGAUCAAGGUAAGAUAAAACUUUUGUUUUCAUACAACAAAUUCACCCCUGAAUACGCUGUUGCCUUCGGAAGAGAAAAUGAACAAUAUGUCUUAUUGUGUUGCAUCCAUAAAUGAUUCAAGUUUGAAGGUAUUGCCGAGAGAAUGUGAUCUGCAAGACAUCGUUGCAUUUGUCGUCUCAGCAAGAGAUUUGAGUUGCCAAUUAACUAUGUAAGAGGUUGCAGUUUCGACAAUAUUUACCAUGUUAUAUCAUUACAUUUUUUGUAAAUAAAUACACAGAAUUCCCAUGAUGACUGUUGAACAUUUUCAAUCCAAUAUCACAUACAGGCAGUCCCCGGCUUACGAAGGGGGUGCCGCCCUUGAGAUGAGCCAGAAAUUUGUAAAAAAUCUUAAGAAAACAUUACUUUUAAUGCUUUGGGUGUAUUAAAAACUAUGUAAACUGCAUUUUUAUUGCAUUUUUCAUUAAAAAAACUUCAAAUAUUGAUUAUUUUGCAUUUUUAGUCAUAUUUCUUCUGUCAGAUUGUCAUCAUAAGUGGCAAAACCCUGGAACGUGUCAUAAACCUGGAAAUAAUUUCUGAUGAAUAUAACUGAAAAGCAUCGUAACCUCGGAACGUUGUAAGCCGGGGACUGCCUGUAGUAUGUCUGGACGUAUCUGAUAAAGAAAAAGAUAAUAAUAAUCAGAUGAAUGCAUCAGGUAUCGUUAGCUCAGAUCUAGGCUGGCCUCAGGGAAUUCAGUCCAGCAAAGAAGUUAAACUCGGUGGACAGACGUCGCACUCUUCAACUCAGCCUAAGCUUCAAUAUGUUAUUUCAGAAUAUUGUUUCUAAUUUUAUUAUAUGAAUAUAUCUUCAAACAAAAGAGAUAUCAGAGACUUAUUUGAUUGAUAUGAAAUAAUAAUCUCGGUGAAUUAAUAAAAAAAAUUAAGAAAGAUUUACUUCCUUUCAGGCUGAGUCAACAUGGUAAGAAUAUUCUUCAUUUUCUCUUCACAUAUUACAUGCAUCUAAAAUCUGAAAGCACCAGCGUAUUCAGGGUGAUUUUAUUGUAUGAAAACACAUGUUUUAUUUUAUCUUAAUUGCAUGAAUUAGCAAAAUCUGAUGAAAAUAAAAAUAUAUAAAGAAUAUGAGGUAAAUGAAGAAAUAUAAAUAUAUUCCUAGUUUUCUAAGCUACAAACAAAAAUAUGACACACUGAGCACGCAGCCUACCUCCAGGUACAGCUAAUCAGAGGCCACCAAACAAACGUCUCAUAGCUACAAGAAUCUACCUUAAAUGACCUUAAAACUCUUAUGCCGACUGGACGUAUUUUACGUUGACAUUUUUUGUCUCACGUGUGCCGACUGGACGUAUUUUACGUCGACUUACAAAAGUUUUUUUUAAAAUUCGCGGAAAAAUACUUAUAGGCCUACCAGCCUAAAACUUUUGAAUCACGCGCCUUUGGGGAUGCUGGGAGUUCACGGAUCAAGGUGUUGUUUUCUUUACAAUCGUUACGCAGGCGCGCAAGCGCAAAUUUCUUUCUUGCCGCACUAAAAAGUAUCUGUGACACAUCUCUGAAAUUAUUUCGUCACUUUGACAUAAUUUUUGUACCAUUGUAAAUUAGCCGUUACAUGAAGUAUUAUAUAUGAAAAUAUGCACAUUUUUAUGUAGAAUACAACAAUAAAAUACUCAUGAUUGUAGCUUUUAUCAAUUUUGAGAUAUUUUCAUAUAAAUAACGAUAAUUGCCAAAAUUUCAACCUUCGGUCAACUUUGACUCUACCGAAAUGGUCGAAAAACGCAAUUGUAAGCUAAAACUCUUAUGUUUUAGUAAUAUUCAAUCAUUUACCUUAAUUUUGCAACUAGUAAUUGGAAGUCUCUAGCACAAUAUUUCGAUUUAUGGUGAAUUUAUGAAAAAACUUUUUCCUUACGUCUGGGCGGUAACUCUUCCGAAAAAAAUCAUACAUGCGAUUGUGGUAAUGUUUGCACCAUUUUAAAAUUAGCCGUUAUAUAAAGUUUUAUAUAUGGAAAUGUGUGCAAUUUCAUGCACAAUACAACUAAAAACAACCCAUGGUUGUACCUUUUAUCAGUUUUGAGAUAUUUUCAUAUAAAUAACGAUAAUUGCCAAAAUUUCAACCUUUGGUCAACUUUGACUCUACCGAAAUGGUCGAAAAACGCAAUUGUAAGCUAAAACGCUUAUAUUCUAGUAAUAUUCAAGCAUUUACCUUCAUUUUGCAACAAAUUGGAAGUCUCUAGCACAAUAUUUUGAUUUAUGGUGAAUUUAUGAAAAAAAUAACAUUUUCUUUACGUCCGCGCGGUAACUUCCGAAAAAAUCAUACGUGCGAUUGUGGUAAUGUUUGCACCAUUUAAAAUUAGCCGUUGCAUAAAGUUUUAUAUAUGAAAAUGUGCGCAAUUUCACGUAGAAUACAACAAAAAAUAAAUGAAGAUUGUAGCUUUUCUCAUUUUUGAAAUAUUUGCAUAUAAAUCACGAUAAAUAGAAAAAAACCACGUUCGGUCAAAUUUGACUACCGAAAUGGUCGAAAAACGCAAUUGUAAGCUAAAACUCUUACAGUCUAGUAAUAUUCAGUCAUUUAUCUUCAUCUUGAAACAAAUUUGAAGUCUAGCAAAAUAUUUAGAUUUAUGGUGAAUUUAAAAAAAAUCUUUCCUUCCCUCCGCGCGCGGAUUCUCCGCCACAAAUCUCUGAAAUGCGUACGUACCAUUCUCGGAAUAUUUGCUCCGUUUCAUAUCAGGCAUUUCAUAGAGUUUUAUAUAUGAAAAUGUGCGCAAUUUCAUGUAGAAUAAAACGAAAAAUAUUUGAAGGUUGUAGCUUUUCUUAUUUUCGAAAUAAUUGCAUAGAAAAAAUAUAUAUAUAAAAAAAUUCGACAUUCGGUCAAAUUUAACUCGUCAGAUAUGGUCGAAAACUGCAAUUGUAAGCUAAUACUCUUACAGUAUAGUAAUAUUCAAUCAUUUGUCUUCAUUUGAAAGAAAUUGGAAGUCUCUAGGACAAUAUUUAGAUUUAUGGUGAAUUUUUGAAAAAAAUAUUUGUUUACGUCUGCGCGUUACGAAUUCAUGCAUUAUUUUGUGAUAAUAUUUUCUCUGUGUUGCUUUUAUCGUUUUACAAUGUGUUAUAUACCAAAAUGAUUGCAAUUUAGUGUACAUUACAACGAAAAAAAAGUAACUUGUUACCUUUAACCGUUUUGCGCACAGCGUGAUUUGAAUACAAUUAUAUAUGAAAUUUUGUUUUUGCGCUAUCAUAUAUCGCAUUAUUUAUAUAUGAUAAUGAUAAUUUUUUUCAUUUCUGAUGGUUGUAUACUAAACUUCAGCCAAUGACGAAAAAAGGAGCCAAAAAUGAACUCUUAAUCUUGAAAACUAAGCGCGCUGUGAUUUUUUGAAAAACAUAUUUUUUCCGCUUCCGCACUCACUCUGAAACACCUCCGGCACACGGGAGACAAUUUUUUUUUUUUUACCGCUUCGGCGUAAGAGGGUUAAGUGAAUCGACGAUAGUAUGUACAAUAUCCGUAAAUAUGGUAGGGUGAGGUGGGGUAGUACCGUACAUGGGGAAACAACGUACACGUGCUCUUGAUAAAAAAACUAUCGGCUGUAUUGUGACGUCACUCCAUUUGAGGAAGAAGAGCAUCAACAACAACUCCGCCAUUUGCUUUUGCUGAUCCCGUUUACCAGAAUCCACCAACACUCUUCCAUCAAGCUAAGGAAAUAUGUGCGAACCAGUAAGAAAACAACUGGACCGAAGUAAUUUAGAGGCAGUCUUUAAACAUUGUCUUGCCACUGAGUGUAGUUUGAAAGAAGCCUGUGAUCAGUUCAAUGUCAAGAAGAUGAGCCCUGUUCAUUAUGUUUGUAAGAUGAACAUCAAGGAAGGGAAAUAAGAGGUGUCCUUCCUCUGCAUGAAGUCUUUUUGUUUCCCAAGGACACAUUCUUAUUCCCUGCUGUUGAAAAUGUGGAGGUUGUGCAAUGUAAGGGUGUCCUGACCAAUGUGGAGGCCUGCACCCUCAUAAAGGUCUCCCCUCCACUGAACUUCAAUAUGUAAUAGGGUAGGAUGUAAAUAAUCUGUACAAAGAACGUAUAUAUUUUUUAUUUAUUUUUGUACAAUAAAUGUAAAUUUGUA